rnacentral:rRNA from 1 species
GCUAAACGCGAAGAACCUUACCAGGGUUUGACAUGGAUCUGCAGAGCCGUGAAAGCGGUUGGCCUUCGAGGGUGAUCCACAGGUGCUGCAUGGCUGUCGUCAGCUCGUGUCGUGAGAUGUUGGGUUAAGUCCCGCAACGAGCGCAACCCUUGUGUCCAGUUGUGAUUUUCUGGACAGACUGCCGGGAGCAAACCGGAGGAAGGUAGGGAUGAUGUCAAGUCCGCAUGGCCCUUAUGUCCUGGGCGAGAAGCACGCUACAAUGGGUACGACAAUAGGUUGCCAAGCGGUAACGUGGAGCUAAUCCCGGCAAACGUACUCUCAGUUCGGAUCGUGGGCUGCAACUCGCCCACGUGAAGGUGGAGUCGCUAGUAACCGCAGGUCAGCAGUACUGCGGUGAAUAUGUUCCCGGGUCUUGUACACACCG